GAGGAAAAGAAACUAACAAGGAUUCCCUCAGUAAGGGCGACUGAAGCGGGAAAAGCCCAUGUUGCCAAACCUUCGGGUGUUGUGCCAUGCGUGUCUUGUGGAACUCCAGGAGUAAGUCCCUUGGAACAGGGUGCCAGAGAGGGUGACAGUCCCGUCUGCCUCUUGGGUGUUCCACUUGUAGACCGUGUAUCGGAGUCGUGUUGCUUGGGAUCCCAGCACAAAAUUG
rnacentral:rRNA from 1 species